GUGGUUCUUGUAAUACAGGUAUUACAUUUUCCCUCUCACAUAAAAAAAUGUUUAAUAUUCUUUUAAUUGACGAUAUUCAUUAUAACAAUAUGAAGAGCAAUAAUCGGCAGAAAUGAUGUUUUUUUCAGUUAUUAGUCAAAUAAAUUGCUAUCAUAAGCGCUUCAACCUUUCUGGGAAUGCUGUGUUAAAUACAUGCAACAUCUUUUGUGUCAAAUUCUUCCAAAUGAAUCAGUCAUUUCCAAUACUCACUUGGAGUUAAUAAUAAUUUAUUAGCCUAUCUAUUAAGAAUUAAUUAACAAUGCUUUGUUUUUAAACAUAACGUUAAAACUAUAAAUAUAAAUCAUUAAAACUGUGCGUUAAAUGUGAAAUUAAAACUGCCACUAGGUGUCAGCAAUUCAUUUUUAUUAAGCGAGUCACUGAGAUUAAACAGAUUCAUUCAAACAGCUUAUUUAUUCAUGAACGAAGCAGCGAGUCGAGUCAUUGAUUCAUUCGUCAACCGAUUCGUCUAAAAGUCUGAAUGAUUCAUCCAAUAAGACACCACGUGGAGUCCAAGUUAAACCAUGCUGUCACUUGUUUGGAAUUAUUUUUGUUUACGAAAUAUAAGCAAAAACGGAUAACCAUGUGUCUAAAAUGGAUUCUGCGGCCUCGAUAAGUUCCAGGGAUUCUGCAUCCUCAGCUGUUUCCAGGGAUUCUGCGGCCUCAGUUGUUUCCAGGGAUUCUGCGGCCUCAGUUGUAUCCACGGCCUCAAGUUUCAGCACACGAUUGUGAAUGUGCUGGACUUUCAGUGUAAUUGGCAGCUGCUGUACCAAGUCAUUUAUACUGCCAUGGUAAAAAUGGCUUGGUACAGCAUAGUCUUCAAGUUUACUGUCCAACAGGAUGAGCAUAUUGUUAUCAUCCUCAGACACUCCGAUAAUUGUCAGCACCGCUUCGAGGAUCUGGCGCUCAACGAUCUGGUGAAAAAAAGAAAAGAAAAAAAAAAAACAUCCACACUUAGGGUUAAGUCGUAUAGUUUGAGGAGUCAAAUUUGCCUCCUCCAUUGGGCUGAAUUUUUGCCCUUAGGUGGCUGAUCUCCACCUUAUCCCCGACGUACAGGUCCAUCAACGCCUCUUCUCUCCACAAAGUUACCUCCAGGAGUUUUGUUCCAGACCUCAAAGAAAGGUCCAGGAGGGGAUACUGGGCCCGAGUCAUCCUGGCCACUUGCAACUGGAAAACAACAGCCCAGUGUCACAGAUGAGUGUAUCUCAGCCCUGGUUCAGACUCAGGUACCCAGGUCUUGUGAAGAUCUCCUGUUCUUCCCCGGUUACAAAUGGGGAAGGAGGAUAGAGGACCUCUUUAGCAGCUCUCUCUGCAUCCUCGGUUAUGGCCAAUGGAGAGGUUUUAAAUUUCCUGCUGGUCCG